rnacentral:tRNA from 1 species
AUUUAAAUAGUUUAAUUAAAAAACAUAAUAUUGAAGAUAUUAAAAAAACAAUAAGUUUUUAAAUA